UUUGAUCAUGGCUCAGAUUGAACGCUGGCGGCAGGCCUAACACAUGCAAGUCGAACGGUAACAGGAAGAAGCUUGCUUCUUUGCUGACGAGUGGCGGACGGGUGAGUAAUGUCUGGGAAACUGCCUGAUGGAGGGGGAUAACUACUGGAAACGGUAGCUAAUACCGCAUAACGUCGCAAGACCAAAGAGGGGGACCUUCGGGCCUCUUGCCAUCGGAUGUGCCCAGAUGGGAUUAGCUAGUAGGUGGGGUAACGGCUCACCUAGGCGACGAUCCCUAGCUGGUCUGAGAGGAUGACCAGCCACACUGGAACUGAGACACGGUCCAGACUCCUACGGGAGGCAGCAGUGGGGAAUAUUGCACAAUGGGCGCAAGCCUGAUGCAGCCAUGCCGCGUGUAUGAAGAAGGCCUUCGGGUUGUAAAGUACUUUCAGCGGGGAGGAAGGGAGUAAAGUUAAUACCUUUGCUCAUUGACGUUACCCGCAGAAGAAGCACCGGCUAACUCCGUGCCAGCAGCCGCGGUAAUACGGAGGGUGCAAGCGUUAAUCGGAAUUACUGGGCGUAAAGCGCACGCAGGCGGUUUGUUAAGUCAGAUGUGAAAUCCCCGGGCUCAACCUGGGAACUGCAUCUGAUACUGGCAAGCUUGAGUCUCGUAGAGGGGGGUAGAAUUCCAGGUGUAGCGGUGAAAUGCGUAGAGAUCUGGAGGAAUACCGGUGGCGAAGGCGGCCCCCUGGACGAAGACUGACGCUCAGGUGCGAAAGCGUGGGGAGCAAACAGGAUUAGAUACCCUGGUAGUCCACGCCGUAAACGAUGUCGACUUGGAGGUUGUGCCCUUGAGGCGUGGCUUCCGGAGCUAACGCGUUAAGUCGACCGCCUGGGGAGUACGGCCGCAAGGUUAAAACUCAAAUGAAUUGACGGGGGCCCGCACAAGCGGUGGAGCAUGUGGUUUAAUUCGAUGCAACGCGAAGAACCUUACCUGGUCUUGACAUCCACGGAAGUUUUCAGAGAUGAGAAUGUGCCUUCGGGAACCGUGAGACAGGUGCUGCAUGGCUGUCGUCAGCUCGUGUUGUGAAAUGUUGGGUUAAGUCCCGCAACGAGCGCAACCCUUAUCCUUUGUUGCCAGCGGUCCGGCCGGGAACUCAAAGGAGACUGCCAGUGAUAAACUGGAGGAAGGUGGGGAUGACGUCAAGUCAUCAUGGCCCUUACGACCAGGGCUACACACGUGCUACAAUGGCGCAUACAAAGAGAAGCGACCUCGCGAGAGCAAGCGGACCUCAUAAAGUGCGUCGUAGUCCGGAUUGGAGUCUGCAACUCGACUCCAUGAAGUCGGAAUCGCUAGUAAUCGUGGAUCAGAAUGCCACGGUGAAUACGUUCCCGGGCCUUGUACACACCGCCCGUCACACCAUGGGAGUGGGUUGCAAAAGAAGUAGGUAGCUUAACCUUCGGGAGGGCGCUUACCACUUUGUGAUUCAUGACUGGGGUGAAGUCGUAACAAGGUAACCGUAGGGGAACCUGCGGUUGGAUCACCUCCUUACCUUAAAGAAGC
rnacentral:rRNA from 1 species